rnacentral:rRNA from 1 species
AUAUCAGUCAUGCAUAGCAUAUCAAUAAGCGGAGGAAAAGAAACUAACAAGGAUUCCCUUAGUAACGGCGAGUGAAGUGGGAAGAGCUCAAAUUUGAAAUCUUCAAGGUUCUACCUUGACGAAUUGUAGUUUAUAGAAGUGUUUUCUGUUAGUAGAGUGGCAAAAGUUCUUUGGAAUAGGACAUCAUAGAGGGUGGGAAUCCCGUAUUUGGUCAUUCCUCCUAGCGUUGUGAUACACUUUCAACGAGUCGGAUUGUUUGGGAAUGCAGUCCAAAAUGGGUGGUAAAUUUCAUCUAAAGCUAAAUAUUGGCGAGAGACCGAUAGCGAACAAGUACCGUGAGGGAAAGAUGAAAAGAACUUUGAAAAGAGAGUUAAACAGUACGUGAAAUUGUCAAAAGGGAAGCGUUUGACACCAGUGUUGUUUUUCCGAAAAUCAAUUACGAAUGUUUUAUUUUUGAGGAGUUAUGACUUCAUCGGCUUGCUCCUUUCUUUACUGAAACUUUCUUAAUGCACUUUUCGGUUAACAAGUCAACAUCAAUUUCUUUUGUUGUAAAAGGGUAUGAGGAAGGUGGCUUUCUUUUCGGAGAAAGUGUUUAUAGCCUUUGAUCUCUGCAACCGGAGAGAUUGAGGUCUGCAGCGUAGAUCCUUCGGGGUUAGAGACGUUUGUGCUAAGCUAUAGCUCUUUAUAGACAACUUGUUGACUAUAAUCAAUCCUGUAACUUACUCGCUUAUGCUAUUAUACCUACGCUUAGGAUGUUGACGCGCGUGUGUGCGUG